rnacentral:rRNA from 1 species
AAUCAACGCUGGCGGCGUGCCUCAGACAUGCAAGUCGAACGCGAAAGGUUCCUUCGGGGGACCGAGUAGAGUGGCGCACGGGUGAGUAACACGUAGGUAAUUUGCCUUUGGGUGGGGAAUAACUCAGGGAAACUUGAGCUAAUACCGCAUAAUGCAGCGGCUCGACAUCGAGACAGUUGUUAAAGCGGGGGAUUCGCAAGAACCUCGCGCCUAAAGAGAAGCCUGCGGCAGAUAGCUAGUUGGUAAGGUAAUGGCUUACCAAGGCGACGAUCUGUAACCGGCCUGAGAGGGCGGUCGGUCACACUGACACUGACAUACGGGUCAGACUCCUACGGGAGGCAGCAGUCGGGAAUUUUGGGCAAUGGGCGAAAGCCUGACCCAGCAACGCCGCGUGAAGGAUGAAAUUUUCGGAAUGUAAACUUCG